GAUGAACGCUGGCGGCGUGCCUAAUACAUGCAAGUCGAGCGAAUGGAUUAAGAGCUUGCUCUUAUGAAGUUAGCGGCGGACGGGUGAGUAACACGUGGGUAACCUGCCCAUAAGACUGGGAUAACUCCGGGAAACCGGGGCUAAUACCGGAUAACAUUUUGAACCGCAUGGUUCGAAAUUGAAAGGCGGCUUCGGCUGUCACUUAUGGAUGGACCCGCGUCGCAUUAGCUAGUUGGUGAGGUAACGGCUCACCAAGGCAACGAUGCGUAGCCGACCGGGGAGGGGGGUCGGCCACACUGGGACGGAGACACGGCCCAGACUCCUACGGGAGGCAGCAGUAGGGAAUCUUCCGCAAUGGACGAAAGUCUGACGGAGCAACGCCGCGUGAGUGAUGAAGGCUUUCGGGUCGUAAAACUCUGUUGUUAGGGAAGAACAAGUGCUAGUUGAAUAAGCUGGCACCUUGACGGUACCUAACCAGAAAGCCACGGCUAACUACGUGCCAGCAGCCGCAGUAA
rnacentral:rRNA from 1 species